rnacentral:rRNA from 1 species
AGCAAUACACGAGUGGCGCACGGGUGAGUAACACGUGGAUAUCUGCCUUUUGGUUCGGGAUAACCCUGGGAAACUAGGGCUAAUACCGAAUGGUUCCUACGGGAUAAAGAUUUAUCGCCAAAAGAUGAGUCCGCGUCCGAUUAGCUAGUUGGUGAGGUAAUGGCUCACCAAGGCGACGAUCGGUAGCUGGUCUGAGAGGACGAUCAGCCACACUGGGACUGAGACACGGCCCAGACUCCUACGGGAGGCAGCAGUGGGGAAUAUUGGACAAUGGGGGCAACCCUGAUCCAGCCAUGCCGCGUGAGUGAUGAAGGCCUUCGGGUUGUAAAGCUCUUUUGGCGGGGACGAUGAUGACGGUACCCGCAGAAUAAGCCCCGGCUAACUUCGUGCCAGCAGCCGCGGUAAGACGAAGGGGGCUAGCGUUGUUCGGAAUUACUGGGCGUAAAGCGCGUGUAGGCGGUUAUUCAAGUCAGGUGUGAAAGCCUUGAGCUUAACUCAAGAAAUGCACUUGAUACUGGAUGACUAGAGGACCGGAGAGGAUAGUGGAAUUCCCAGUGUAGUGGUGAAAUACGUAGAGAUUGGGAAGAACACCAGUGGCGAAGGCGGCUAUCUGGACGGUUCU